UUGACCUCGGAUCAGGUAGGGAUACCCGCUGAACUUAAGCAUAUCAAUAAGCGGAGGAAAAGAAACCAACAGGGAUUGCCUCAGUAACGGCGAGUGAAGCGGCAACAGCUCAAAU
rnacentral:rRNA from 7 species